CAAAAAUAUAGCCAAGAUGACCAGCCCUGCUCCGUGGGACUCUGGGGGGAUCAGGAAGAGCAAAAAUGAAGCAGAACUGACGGAGUGGCGGCUGCGCGGGAGCCAGCGCCGGCCCGUGGGAGCCUGCUCCAGCCUGCUCCGUGCUAAUUCCAGCCGUUGCCGUGGAGGUAAAUAGCAGGAAUCAGCCUUUGCCUGAUGCACAAACGGAGUCAAGUAGCGGUGCCCUUUGCAAAGCGCUAAUGAAUUACAAGUGUCUCUCCACACACGGGCGCUGCCACCCUCGUGACCAGCUGAAAACCGCAGCCCCGCGCCCUCGACAUGUGGA